rnacentral:rRNA from 1 species
UCGAGCGGUAGAGAGAAGCUUGCUUCUCUUGAGAGCGGCGGACGGGUGAGUAAUGCCUAGGAAUCUGCCUGGUAGUGGGGGAUAACGUCCGGAAACGGACGCUAAUACCGCAUACGUCCUACGGGAGAAAGCAGGGGACCUUCGGGCCUUGCGCUAUCAGAUGAGCCUAGGUCGGAUUAGCUAGUUGGUGGGGUAAUGGCUCACCAAGGCGACGAUCCGUAACUGGUCUGAGAGGAUGAUCAGUCACACUGGAACUGAGACACGGUCCAGACUCCUACGGGAGGCAGCAGUGGGGAAUAUUGGACAAUGGGCGAAAGCCUGAUCCAGCCAUGCCGCGUGUGUGAAGAAGGUCUUCGGAUUGUAACGCACUUUAAGUUGGGAGGAAGGGCAGUAAAUUAAUACUUUGCUGUUUUGACGUUACCGACAGAAUAAGCACCGGCUAACUCUGUGCCAGCAGCCGCGGUAAUACAGAGGGUGCAAGCGUUAAUCGGAAUUACUGGGCGUAAAGCGCGCGUAGGUGGUUCGUUAAGUUGGAUGUGAAAUCCCCGGGCUCAACCUGGGAACUGCAUUCAAAACUGACGAGCUAGAGUAUGGUAGAGGGUGGUGGAAUUUCCUGUGUAGCGGUGAAAUGCGUAGAUAUA